UCAGGCCCUUCACUUCAGUCUGGAGUUCCUGGCAAUGGGAGUCCUGAUGGCUACCAAGCCUCAGUUUCCCCUUGAGUGCCUCAGAGGGGAAGACCGUCAGGCAGUGCCACAGGGACGUGCAUUGAUGACUCGGGCCAGAGAGAGCCUCAGAAGAACGUGGCGCUGGAAUUCUGGUCCCGAUCCUGCCACUGACUCACUUAAGAUUGUCACCAGGCCAGCCCUUUCUCUAAACUUGUUUCUUCUGUUACAUGAAGGGCUCAGACUAGCUGAGAGGUUAAAACUAGAUGCCCAAGAAGGCCAAGCAGGCUUGCCUUGGACUGGAACUUAGACCAUUGACUCUCCUGAUUCUCGGGCCUUCGGACUCAGACUGGAAUUGCAGAUAUGUGGGAAUUUGCAGUGAUCUCAAUAUUUAAAGUGGAAGAAAAGGAUGGGUUUUAUUGAAUGGAUAUUACACCUCAAUAACGUCGAUUAAAAACAAAACGAAAAGCAAAAAACCCAAAAAAACAAAAAAACAAAAAAAAUAAAACAGAGCUUCUGGAAUUAAA